rnacentral:tRNA from 1 species
AUUCCUGGCCAAGUGCUUAGGGCGUUGGACUUGAAAUACAAAUGGGUCUCCCCACGCAGGUUUGAACCCUGCUCACAGUGAUA